rnacentral:rRNA from 1 species
UACGGAGGUGGCAAGCGUUGUUCGGAAUUAUUGGGCGUAAAGGGCGCGUAGGCGGCAUUGCAAGUCAGAUGUGAAAGCCCCGGGCUUAACUCGGGAAUUGCAUCUGAAACUGCUCUGCUUGAGUCCUGGAGGGGGUAGUGGAAUUCCCAGUGUAGCGGUGAAAUGCGUAGAUAUUGGGAGGAACACCGGCGGCGAAGGCGGCUACCUGGACAGUGACUGACGCUGAUGCGCGAAAGCUAGGGGAGCGAAC